AAACAAUUUAUGUUUAUAUCUUCCGCAAACAGUUGUAGAAAUAGCGAACCGGAUCCGCAGCGAUUCGGGACCCGGAUUCGGGGCUGCUACAUCAAAUACGACUGCUACAGUGUCAAAGGAAAAUCCAUUGUAUCUUCCCCAACGGGUGAUGAAGCCUACCAUCAAAUCAAAAGGGAAAAUACCCAUGGAGAAAAUUGAAAAGUUCCUCCGCACUAUGGGUCAUAACGAAG
rnacentral:lncRNA from 1 species